rnacentral:snoRNA from 1 species
CCUCUUAAUAAUGAUGAUAUUAUCACCUAUCUUCUUGCAGGACUCAGUCAUGAAUAUGACAGCCUCGUAACCUCCAUUUCAGCAAGAAUCGAUGCCGUCUCCUUGGAGGAAAUCUACUCUCUUUUAUUAACAUCUGAAGC